rnacentral:lncRNA from 1 species
UGCACACAGAACACUUGAGCAAUAUAUAUUUUGAUCCUACGUUUCUAGUUACACUUCUCACCCAAGAAAUCUGAGCAUCAGAAGAAGACAGUGUGAUACCCAGGGAGGAAUGGAAUGGAAUUCUAUAAUGGAAUCUCCAGUGCAGUUGUGACAUUCUGCACAGCAUGGGACAAGAUGACUACAGCAAUGGUGCCAUGGCUGGGGAAGGAUGGUGCUCAUGCUGUCUCAGAGACCUUCUACUUGUUGCUGCUACCUGCCCCUCUCAGUGGUACACCCUGCCUGCCACCACGACCAUCACCCUCACUUCAAACGCACCAAGCAAACUCUCCCAUGAACCAUUGCUGUGGUCAGAGGUUCAGGUGUGGGUCAAGAUCGCAUGGUGCCCAGGGCUUUCAAGUUACAUACUGUUAAGUCUCAAUAAAGAAUCAGGCAUGUUGUAACCA